rnacentral:rRNA from 1 species
UACGUAGGGGGCGAGCGUUGUCCGGAUUUAUUGGGCGUAAAGAGCUCGUAGGCGGUUCGAUAAGUCGGAUGUGAAAUCUCCACGCUCAACGUGGAGGGGCCAUUCGAUACUGUCGUGACUCGAGUCCGGUAGGGGAGUGUGGAAUUCCCGGUGUAGCGGUGAAAUGCGCAGAGAUCGGGAGGAACACCCGGAGCGAAGGCGGAUCUCUGGGCCGAUACUGACGCUGAGGAGCGAAAGCGUGGGGAGCGAACAGG